rnacentral:rRNA from 1 species
GGGUUGUGAGGUUAAGCGACUAAGCGUACACGGUGGAUGCCCUGGCAGUCAGAGGCGAUGAAGGACGUGCUAAUCUGCGAUAAGCGUCGGUGAGGUGAUAUGAACCGUUAUAACCGGCGAUUUCCGAAUGGGGAAACCCAGUGUGUUUCGACACACUAUCAUUAACUGAAUCCAUAGGUUAAUGAGGCGAACCGGGGGAACUGAAACAUCUAAGUACCCCGAGGAAAAGAAAUCAACCGAGAUUCCCCCAGUAGCGGCGAGCGAACGGGGAGGAGCCCAGAGCCUGAAUCAGUGUGUGUGUUAGUGGAAGCGUCUGGAAAGGCGUGCGAUACAGGGUGACAGCCCCGUACACAAAAAUGCACAUAUUGUGAGCUCGAUGAGUAGGGCGGGACACGUGGUAUCCUGUCUGAAUAUGGGGGGACCAUCCUCCAAGGCUAAAUACUCCUGACUGACCGAUAGUGAACCAGUACCGUGAGGGAAAGGCGAAAAGAACCCCGGCGAGGGGAGUGAAAAAGAACCUGAAACCGUGUACGUACAAGCAGUGGGAGCCUCUUAAUGGGGUGACUGCGUACCUUUUGUAUAAUGGGUCAGCGACUUAUAUUCUGUAGCAAGGUUAACCGAAUAGGGGAGCCGAAGGGAAACCGAGUCUUAACUGGGCGUUAAGUUGCAGGGUAUAGACCCGAAACCCGGUGAUCUAGCCAUGGGCAGGUUGAAGGUUGGGUAACACUAACUGGAGGACCGAACCGACUAAUGUUGAAAAAUUAGCGGAUGACUUGUGGCUGGGGGUGAAAGGCCAAUCAAACCGGGAGAUAGCUGGUUCUCCCCGAAAGCUAUUUAGGUAGCGCCUCGUGAAUUCAUCUCCGGGGGUAGAGCACUGUUUCGGCAAGGGGGUCAUCCCGACUUACCAACCCGAUGCAAACUGCGAAUACCGGAGAAUGUUAUCACGGGAGACACACGGCGGGUGCUAACGUCCGUCGUGAAGAGGGAAACAACCCAGACCGCCAGCUAAGGUCCCAAAGUCAUGGUUAAGUGGGAAACGAUGUGGGAAGGCCCAGACAGCCAGGAUGUUGGCUUAGAAGCAGCCAUCAUUUAAAGAAAGCGUAAUAGCUCACUGGUCGAGUCGGCCUGCGCGGAAGAUGUAACGGGGCUAAACCAUGCACCGAAGCUGCGGCAGCGACACUAUGUGUUGUUGGGUAGGGGAGCGUUCUGUAAGCCUGUGAAGGUGGCCUGUGAGGGUUGCUGGAGGUAUCAGAAGUGCGAAUGCUGACAUAAGUAACGAUAAAGCGGGUGAAAAGCCCGCUCGCCGGAAGACCAAGGGUUCCUGUCCAACGUUAAUCGGGGCAGGGUGAGUCGACCCCUAAGGCGAGGCCGAAAGGCGUAGUCGAUGGGAAACAGGUUAAUAUUCCUGUACUUGGUGUUACUGCGAAGGGGGGACGGAGAAGGCUAUGUUGGCCGGGCGACGGUUGUCCCGGUUUAAGCGUGUAGGCUGGUUUUCCAGGCAAAUCCGGAAAACCAAGGCUGAGGCGUGAUGACGAGGCACUACGGUGCUGAAGCGACAAAUGCCCUGCUUCCAGGAAAAGCCUCUAAGCAUCAGGUAACAUCAAAUCGUACCCAAAACCGACACAGGUGGUCAGGUAGAGAAUACCAAGGCGCUUGAGAGAACUCGGGUGAAGGAACUAGGCAAAAUGGUGCCGUAACUUCGGGAGAAGGCACGCUGAUAUGUAGGUGAAGCGACUUGCUCGUGGAGCUGAAAUCAGUCGAAGAUACCAGCUGGCUGCAACUGUUUAUUAAAAACACAGCACUGUGCAAACACGAAAGUGGACGUAUACGGUGUGACGCCUGCCCGGUGCCGGAAGGUUAAUUGAUGGGGUUAGCGGUAACGCGAAGCUCUUGAUCGAAGCCCCGGUAAACGGCGGCCGUAACUAUAACGGUCCUAAGGUAGCGAAAUUCCUUGUCGGGUAAGUUCCGACCUGCACGAAUGGCGUAAUGAUGGCCAGGCUGUCUCCACCCGAGACUCAGUGAAAUUGAACUCGCUGUGAAGAUGCAGUGUACCCGCGGCAAGACGGAAAGACCCCGUGAACCUUUACUAUAGCUUGACACUGAACAUUGAGCCUUGAUGUGUAGGAUAGGUGGGAGGCUUUGAAGUGUGGACGCCAGUCUGCAUGGAGCCGACCUUGAAAUACCACCCUUUAAUGUUUGAUGUUCUAACGUUGGCCCGUAAUCCGGGUUGCGGACAGUGUCUGGUGGGUAGUUUGACUGGGGCGGUCUCCUCCUAAAGAGUAACGGAGGAGCACGAAGGUUGGCUAAUCCUGGUCGGACAUCAGGAGGUUAGUGCAAUGGCAUAAGCCAGCUUGACUGCGAGCGUGACGGCGCGAGCAGGUGCGAAAGCAGGUCAUAGUGAUCCGGUGGUUCUGAAUGGAAGGGCCAUCGCUCAACGGAUAAAAGGUACUCCGGGGAUAACAGGCUGAUACCGCCCAAGAGUUCAUAUCGACGGCGGUGUUUGGCACCUCGAUGUCGGCUCAUCACAUCCUGGGGCUGAAGUAGGUCCCAAGGGUAUGGCUGUUCGCCAUUUAAAGUGGUACGCGAGCUGGGUUUAGAACGUCGUGAGACAGUUCGGUCCCUAUCUGCCGUGGGCGCUGGAGAACUGAGGGGGGCUGCUCCUAGUACGAGAGGACCGGAGUGGACGCAUCACUGGUGUUCGGGUUGUCAUGCCAAUGGCACUGCCCGGUAGCUAAAUGCGGAAGAGAUAAGUGCUGAAAGCAUCUAAGCACGAAACUUGCCCCGAGAUGAGUUCUCCCUGACUCCUUGAGGGUCCUGAAGGAACGUUGAAGACGACGACGUUGAUAGGCCGGGUGUGUAAGCGCA